UACCAGCACCCCGAGUGGUCGGGACGGUUAUUGGGCCUAAAGCAUCCGUAGCCGGUUCUACAAGUCUUCCGUUAAAUCCACCUGCUUAACAGAUGGGCUGCGGAAGAUACUAUAGAGCUAGGAGGCGGGAGAGGCAAGCGGUACUCGAUGGGUAGGGGUAAAAUCCGUUGAUCCAAUGAAGACCACCAGUGGCGAAGGCGGCUUGCCAGAACGCGCUCGACGGUGAGGGAUGAAAGCUGGGGGAGCAAACCGG
rnacentral:rRNA from 1 species